UAUGUAGCACAUGCUAAAAUACAAUAAAAUCUCAAAGUGUUUCACCAAAUAAGUAAAAUCAAAUUGUCUUAAAUGCAUUAGUGGAAGACAAAAUGUAUUUAUUUUAAUAUUCAUUGUUUUAUCAAUGUGUCCUACAUAUAUAUUUUUAAUUUUUUCCGUAAGUGUUGAGCAGCUGCAGGAAUCAAUUUUUAUUCCGAGUUAAUCUCUGAUUCACCCUCCGAAGCGGAAGGCGGCGCUAAUGAGCAUUAAUAGGAAACACAGAAGAAGUAAAGGUAUAUGGGCGGGAACAGCACCAAAGAGGCAACACGGACGACUGGAGAAAGUUGGACCUAACGGCAGCAACUAGCAUCACUGGACUUACAUUGUAUGCAGAGUUUCAGCGGAUUACAAAUCAGAACCUGCCCAAUACAUUCUACGCUGAACUUGACCGCCAUCUUCCUCGACUGAUGACCUUAUUCAGCCCGGGCAUCAAAAACUGGGAAGACAGCAGAUGCCCUGGCUGAAAUUCUAAGAAUUCACAAUGAACAGGUAAUAAUAGAUUGUUACACAUUUCAUAGGUUGAACCAGUGGAACAUUGGACAGGUUCAAUGAUUUAAAUGAGCUUUUUGAAUUUUGCUAUUACUCCACUUUGUGUUUGCUAUUUGUCUGACUGUAUUAAAGAUGUGAACAGGUUAUUUGUGGACAUAUGUUCUGAUUUGACUGUUGUUUUUGUUGUUGUUCAGUAAACUCACCAGUAUAUACAAUUCUGUUUUUAUCUGGAAAUAGGAAAUCCAUGAUAUCCACACCAAGCGCACUACCGUUCUCCACGCCCUUCCUGUCUAUCUGCGUGAGGAUGUCUCUGGAUUUUUCAGAACCUGCACUGACGAAUCUGAUGAGUUGGAGCUUGAUGGUGUUGAAGUGGCCCUCUUCACUGUCAUCAGUGACCAUGACACAACAAGUCCAGUUCACUACCAACCUGUGAAAAUCUCUGUCGUCAUUGUAAGUGAUGCCGUGUUCAGUCUCCCCAGAUUUGGUGAAGCCUUCCUGGUAAUGUUUGGACUGAUCUAUGCACUUCACCUCAGCUACC